CAAUAAGCAUGUGAGGUGAAAUAUUACACACGUUGGCUAUUGUGCUAUAAAAUGGACGCGCCUACACAACUAUAGCCUACAAUACAUGCUGAGGGUGAGGGUAUGUUUGAGAACAGCUGAAAACACAAUUACGGCACCUUGCAUUCCGCAUACCUGUGAAGUGCUGCAGCGUCGUGCCUUGCACCCAAAGGCUCAGCACUUGCUGCACCGACAGAUUAACGGAAUAAUCCCGGUUCGUUGUCAUGUUCAUGCCGCUGCUGCCGCCGCCGCCGCCCGGGUUCGCACCCCUCUUUAUCGAAUAGCUGUACUUGGCUUUAGACGAAGGCAUGGAGGAGACCGGGGGGGCAUGGGAUGUGUGAGGCGGCUCUCCCCGGCGCAGCUCGCCUCUACCGGUGCCUCUGCUUCGACUUGACGUCCGUCUCCGCUCCGGCAGAUGGCCUUGACUGACUCAGGUUAGUCACCAGCAAAGCCCCCUCAUCUGGCUAACAUCCCUGUCACAGUGAGGACAUUCACUGGAACCAACCGGCUGUGUGAUGACUCAAGGUGGAGCCACAGACAGUCUCCGAGGUCAGACGGAGACGGAGGCUCCUGAACACACCGCUGCUUCCUUUCCUGCCGCUGACCAUUAUCAAUACAUCUCCUCAGACCCAGCUAUAAAACUCAUCCUAAUAUCGGCCUUUCAGUGAAGCCCUCUCUGACUUUUUGGUGUUUUCUCAAAUUCUGUGUAUUGUUUUAUUUGUAAUGAUUCUUAGGAUGAUUUUAUUGGUCAUCCUUGGUUGUAAGGGUCUUAUAAAUGUUUUACCAGAAGCCUCCUUUACUAAAAAGUGUAAGUCUAAGUUGUGGGCCAAAGAACGCUAUCACUGGUGAUUUAGAUUAAGUCUACCACACGUCAGAUUGCAAUGUGAGCUAAAACAUUUAAAUUACAUUUCACGAAAUAACCCAAACAUAUCCCAAAUUACAAAACAUUAAACCAAUUAGAUUAGCCUACACGACCAAAUAAUGUCAGGAUGGAUUCGCAGUCAUCUACACAAUUAAACUUUUUAUCUACAAACAAAAAAUACAUUAACCUUGACACUGAGAAACUGUGAUGGAUAUUUUUCGAGUACCUUCUGACACAAUUGAUUGGAGAAAUAAUCCCAAAUGUAUAAAAUCAUGAAUGACAGUCAUACAUUGAUGAUUAUUUUUGCUUGGAAGUAGCUAUAGACAUUUCCUAGCCCACAAUUUACACAUUAGGCUGUCUUGAAGACAGUUCAAAGGUUUAACGGUGCGACCUGAUUUUUCCUGAAAGUAGCCCUGAGCACUUUCACACAAACUUAGAAAUGGAUUUAAGAAUAGUUAGUGCGACCCAACAGGUCCAGUUCAUGUCAGUAUUUCAAGAGCUUUUUGUGUGGACCACAACAAAUAAAGAAAAAAGACAUGAGCCUUUUGAUAAUCUUUUUUCAUCUCCUGACCGUCCUCUAACAGAAAAUAUUUCCAUCAGUUACCCCACAGGGCUCGCUGCUGUUUCCACACACAUCUUGCUCCAUGUUGAAUCCCUGAUGACAAAAACCUAGACUCAGUAAAUCUUUAACUGACGGGUUGGCUAGCCUCUUGUUAAAUGAUGAACUGCUCACAUGUAAUGUCUCCUGGAGUAAGUGGCAGUCUGUAAGCACUGGACCAAAGGCUCCAUGAUGAGGUAAUGCUUGUCUGUACAGUUAUUGUCUGAAAGGAACCAAAAGACCUGUGCGUCCCGCUGAAGCUUUCACUAUGAUCAGACUGUCAUUAACAGCAACGACACUAUGAUCAUCUGUCACAGCUAGCUGUAUCACAGGAAAAGUUAGUUCAGGUGUCUGCCUUGCUUUAUUUAAGCAACACAGUGUAACUAGCAAUAGUUUAAUGUGUAUAAAUUAAAACUGUGAAUCAACAUUCACAUCAAUUAACAUAAAAUGUAUCGUCAUCCCAAUAGAUUAGUGCAUUGGUGACGCAUUUUGUAAACUGACCCAUAAAUUAGCAUCGCUAUGGGAUUCCUCUCCAAAAAGCAAUGGGAUUUCCCCAUUGGAUUUCGAAAUAUUGCAGAAAAUAAGCUUGGUGGCAAACACACAUUCAUGACAAUGCGAUUUUUGAAGCGUGAAUUUAAACAGAAGUAAAAGGCUAUGAAACAAACAACAUCACGGUCGCAUGGCUGCGCAUCACCACCGCUAAGCUAAAGGCGGUCUUGUGUCAGUCUCAUUAAGUCACUUGUUAGCAGCCACCGUUAUUAUGAAGCUCCGGACAUUGACCAGUUGGGUAAUUACAGACAUUAUUUCAUGUCGUAAUGAAAAUGUCUUCAGAUUGUGAUAACUAUAGACCUUAUUUCAGACUUCUAACCACAAACACGUUCAAUUCGAGAUGAGAGAACCGGAAGAGGUAAAAAAGUGAUACCGCGUUU